rnacentral:rRNA from 1 species
UACAGAGGGUGCGAACGUUGCUCGGAAUUACUGGGCGUAAAGGGCGCGUAGGCGGGAUGGCAAGUCGGUCGUGAAAUCCCUCGGCUCAACCGAGGAACGUCGAUCGAUACUGCUGUUCUUGAGGAUUGCAGAGGAGACUGGAAUUCCCGGUGUAGCGGUGAAAUGUGUAGAGAUCGGGAGGAACACCGGUGGCGAAGGCGGGUCUCUGGGCAAUUCCUGACGCUGAGGCGCGAAAGCGUGGGGAGCAAACGGG